AAUGAACGUUGGCGGCGUGGAUUAGGCAUGCAAGUCGAGCGAGAACCCCGCAAGGGGGGACAGCGGCGAAAGGGACAGUACUGUGUAGAUUAUCUGCCCUCAGGUCCGGGAUAGCUGCGGGAAACUGCAGGUAAUACCGGAUAACAUCUCCGGAUCAAAGGUGUGAUUCCGCCUGAGGAUGAGUCUGCAUCCUAUUAGCUAGUUGGUGGGGUAAUGGCCUACCAAGGCAUUGAUGGGUAGCAGGUGUGAGAGCACGACCUGCGUCAUUGGGACUGAGACACUGCCCAGACACCUACGGGUGGCUGCAGGCGAGAAUCUUCGGCAAUGGGCGCAAGCCUGACCGAGCGACGCCGCGUGUGGGAUGAAGGCCUUCGGGUUGUAAACCACUGUCAGAGGGGAUGAAAUGCAGGUGGGUUCUCCCAUCUGUUUGACAUAGCCUCAGAGGAAGGACGGGCUAAGUUCGUG
rnacentral:rRNA from 1 species